rnacentral:lncRNA from 1 species
UGGGAGGCCCGGCAGCAGCAGCAGCUGCAGCGAAGGCAGCAGCAAAGGCAGGAGCCUACGGUGCAGGGGUGCUGCCCGGGGUUGGUGGUGUCCCAGGUCUUGUGCCUGGUGUCGGCGGUGUGCCUGGCUUGGUUCCUGGCGUCGGAGGUGUUCCUGGGGUGGCAGGAGUUGGGACACCAGCGGGAGCAGCAGCAGCAGCCAAGGCAGCUAAGUAUGGUAAGCACUGCACCACGCAAGGAGCCCUCUGACCACCUCGUUAUCCUGGGAUGUCUGCAGUGUCCCAUGCAGACAGCUCCUCUGGCACUCAUCCCUUCCACAAGAAGUGACCUGACACUUGUCCCUUGAAUGAAGGUCAAGGCUGUGGCUGCUCUGGGCAGUUCCCAGUCUGACCAGUGCCCAGAGCCCCCAGCCCUUCCAGGUGCAUACCGGGGGCCACCAGCCAUGUCUCCAUGCCAUUUGGCUGCAAGGCUCCAUCUCCCCAUGGUGAGCGUCAUCUGGAGUCCCCAUGGAAUGGCCUCUGUGCUGAUGACUUCCUAGCUCUUGGGUGACCCCAAACCAGGCGUGUGUCCCAUGCAGCUGCUGGGAUGAGGCAGGGGGCCACGAUAGUAAGAGCAGCUCUUCCUCCAUGUCCCACCUCUCAGCAAACCCAGCUUCUUCUCUCUUGCUGCCUGCAGGAGCUGGCGUUCCUGGUGUUGGCGUUCCUGGUGUUGGCGUUCCUGGUGUUGGCGUUCCCGGUGUUGGCAUUGGAGGUGUUCCUGGUGUUCCUGGUGUUCCCGGUGUUCCUGGUGUUCCUGGUGUGCCUGGUGUGCCUGGUGUGCCUGGAGUACCCGGUGUGGCUGGUGUUCCUGGUGUGGUGCCUGGUGUUGGAGGUGAGCAGAUGGGCUGGCAUGAGGGGACAAAAUGGUGCCAGCUGUGCCAGACCCUCUGCCACCUUUUCUUCUGUCCCUGCAGUUGGUGGCCCAGCAGCUGCUGCUGCAGCGAAGGCUGCAGCAAAAGCGGCCGCAUUUGGUGAGAUCUUCAUCCUUUGCUCUGGGAUGGAUGGUGGUAGGGGUGGAGGGAUGGAGGGAUGGAUGGAGGGAUGGGUGGAGGGACAGGUGGAUGGUUGGAUGCAGGUAUGGGGUAAUGGAUGGAUGGUGGGAUGGAUGGAUGGAGGGAGGGAUGGAUGGAGGGAGGGAUGGAUGGAGGGAGGGAUAGAUGGAGGGAAGAAUGCUUACAAAUGGCCAGGGCAGGGGCUUGGAUGUAUCCCUGAACCUCUCGGCAGGAGCAGGGGGUGUUCCUGGGGUUGGUGUUCCCGGGGUUGGUGUUCCCGGGGUUGGUGUUCCUGGGGUUGGAGUACCUGGAGUUGGAGUACCUGGAGUUGGAGUACCUGGAGUUGGUGUGCCUGGAGUUGGUGUACCUGGGGUUGGCGUUCCCGGAGUUGGCGUUCCCGGAGUUGGCGUGCCCGGUCUGGUGCCUGGAGCUGGCCCAGCUGCUGCUGCCAAAGCAGCCGCCAAAGCCGCCAAGUAUGGUAA